UACGGGGGGGGCAAGCGUUGUUCGGAAUUACUGGGCGUAAAGGGCGCGUAGGCGGCUUUUCAAGUCGGGCGUGAAAGCUCCGGGCUUAACCCGGAAAUGUCGCUCGAUACUGUUGAGCUAGAGUGUGGAAGAGGCUACUGGAAUUCCGUGUGUAGCGGUGAAAUGCGUAGAUAUACGGAGGAACACCAGCGGCGAAGGCGAGUAGCUGGGCCAACACUGACGCUGAUGCGCGAAAGCGUGGGGAGCGAUCCGG
rnacentral:rRNA from 1 species